rnacentral:rRNA from 1 species
UACAGAGGGUGCAAGCGUUGUUCGGAAUUACUGGGCGUAAAGCGCGUGUAGGCGGUCACGCAAGUCAGGUGUGAAAGCCCAGGGCUCAACCCUGGAAGUGCACAUGAUACUACGUGGCUGGAGUACUGAAGAGGAGAGCGGAAUUCCCGGUGUAGAGGUGAAAUUCGUAGAUAUCUGGAGGAACACCGGUGGCGAAGGCGGCAUCCUGGACCGGUAUUGACACUGAGGCGCGAAAGCCAGGGGAGCAAACGGG